rnacentral:tRNA from 2 species
AAGACUUUAAGUUAAAUUAAACUAAAGACCUUCAAAGUCUUAAAUGACCUACGUCAAGUCUUG